UACGUAGGGUGCGAGCGUUUGUCCGGAAUUAUUGGGCGUAAAGAGCUCGUAGGCGGUUUGUCGCGUCUGCCGUGAAAGUCCGGGGCUCAACUCCGGAUCUGCGGCGGGUACGGGCAGACUAGAGUGAUGUAGGGGAGACUGGAAUUCCUGGUGUAGCGGUGAAAUGCGCAGAUAUCAGGAGGAACACCGAUGGCGAAGGCAGGUCUCUGGGCAUUAACUGACGCUGAGGAGCGAAAGCAUGGGGAGCGAACAGG
rnacentral:rRNA from 1 species